ACAUUGUUAUUGAUUCUAGUAGUAUCUGGGGGUUUUAAGAAAAAAGUGCACAAUUUACUUUUUUCGAAUAACUAACAACUCUUGGGUUAUUUUCGACUCAGAAUCGUGAUGACUAUUGAUUAAAACAAAGAAAGAAGUGUCCUCAGUGUCACAUCCAAAUUCGGGAUGUCCGUAAUUGAAAAUGCGUCAAAAAACUAUAAAUUUUCAGACACUUUUUUUUCUUUUUAAAUCGAUGAUUCUAUUCUAAGAUUAUAUUUGUGACAAACCUAUAUACCAAACUUGUAAUAAAAAGACACGUCAAGAUUAAAUAACAAAAUAAAUAAAUCAUAAAUCUAGCCCUAAAUUAGCCUGAGGCAUUUAGAAAUAACCCAAAAGCUGAUGGUUUUUCAAAAAUAGGAAACGGCACCUAUAUCUGAAAAUGUCCGUCUAAUAUCUUAGGUCGAGUCAGACCACGAAAAGUCUGCAGAGAUUUUGAAAGCACACGCAGUGCAAGUGUAAUUUAUACGUCAUAAUUUCAUAGAAGAUUGACGUUUAAAAAUAACACCUGCACUGUGUGUGCUGUCGAAAUCUCUGCAGACUUUCUUGGUCUAACUCUAAGUACGUAAUUAAAUUAAAUGUACUCACGUUCCUGUUAAUAAAAUUAUUGUUUUCUACAAUUUA